AAGGUAGCAAAAUAAUUUGCUUUUUUAUUGAAAGCCAGAAUAAACGAAAUGACGAGAAGAAAACUGUCUUCGGUUUUAACAAUAAAAUUUUCUAAAAAAGUAAAAAAGCUUUUACUCUCUAGAGGGACGACAAGACCCUAAAAUCUUUUUAAUCAAUCUGUUAAUAUUUUCAGUGAGUCCUUUUAUCUGGUCGACUAAAUUACUGGGGCGGUAAAAAUCAAAACAACGACUUUGCCUACACACGUAAUGUACGGAAUUUUCAAACCUCUCAAGAACACAAAAAGAUACUUUAGGGAUAACAGCGUAAUUUUUCUCAAGAGCCCCUAUCGACAGAAUUGCUUACGACCUCGAUGUUGAAUUGAGUUCCACCUUCUCGG
rnacentral:rRNA from 1 species